GUGGGGAAUAUUGCACAAUGGGGGAAACCCUGAUGCAGCGACGCCGCGUGAGUGAUGAAGUAUUUCGGUAUGUAAAGCUCUAUCAGCAGGGAAGAAAAUGACGGUACCUGACUAAGAAGCACCGGCUAAAUACGUGCCAGCAGCCGCGGUAAUACGUAUGGUGCAAGCGUUAUCCGGAUUUACUGGGUGUAAAGGGAGCGUAGGCGGCAUGGCAAGUCAGAUGUGAAAGCCCGGGGCCCAACCCCGGAACUGCAUUUGAAACUGUCAGGCUAGAGUACCGGAGAGGUAAGCGGAAUUCCUAGUGUAGCGGUGAAAUGCGUAGAUAUUAGGAGGAACACCAGUGGCGAAGGCGGCUUACUGGACGGUAACUGACGCUGAGGCUCGAAAGCGUGGGGAGCAAACAGG
rnacentral:rRNA from 1 species